rnacentral:rRNA from 1 species
CCUACGGGAGGCAGCAGUGAGGAAUAUUGGUCAAUGGGCGAGAGCCUGAACCAGCCAAGUCGCGUGAGGGAGUACUGCCCUAUGGGUUGUAAACCUCUUUUGUCGGGGAGCAAAAGCCGGACGUGUCCGGCUGUGAGAGUACCGGAAGAAAACGCAUCGGCUAACUCCGUGCCAGCAGCCGCGGUAAUAGGGAGGAUGCGAGCGUUAUCCGGAUUUAUUGGGGUUAAAGGGUGCGCAGGCGGAUUUUUAAGUCAGCGGUCAAAUCGUGGGGCUCAACCCCAUCCAGCCGUUGAAACUGGGGAUCUAGAGUGUGCGAGAGGUAUGCGGAAUGCGUGGUGUAGCGGUGAAAUGCAUAGAUAUCACGCAGAACCCCGAUUGCGAAGGCAGCAUACCGGUGCACAACUGACGCUCAGGCACGAAAGCGUGGGUAUCGAACAGGAUUAGAUACCCGGGUAGUC